rnacentral:rRNA from 1 species
AUUGAACGCUGGCGGUAGGCCUUACACAUGCAAGUCGAACGGCAGCACAGUAAUAGCCUUCGCGGACGGGUGGGGAGUGGCGGAUGGGAGAGGGAAACAUGGGAAGCUACGUUUGCGUGGGGGGUGACGCAGGGAAACUUACGGCAAAACAGCAUAGGGACUACGGGGGAAAGCUGGGGAUCUUCGGAUCUUGCGGCAUGGGAUGGCCCGAUGUCGGAUUAGCUAGUUGGCGGGGUAAAGGCCCACCAAGGCGACGAUCCGUAGCUGGUCUGAGAGGAUGAUCAGCCACACUGGAACUGAGACACGGUCCAGACUCCUACGGGAGGCAGCAGUGGGGAAUAUUGGACAAUGGGCGCAAGCCUGAUCCAGCCAUACCGCGUGGGUGAAGAAGGCCUUCGGGUUGUAAAGCCCUUUUGUUGGGAAAGAAAAGCAGCAGGUUAAUACCCCGCUGUUCUGACGGUACCCAAAGAAUAAGCACCGGCUAACUUCGUG